GCUUGCUCUCGGGUGACGAGCGGCGGACGGGUGAGUAAUGUCUGGGAAACUGCCUGAUGGAGGGGGAUAACUACUGGAAACGGUAGCUAAUACCGCAUAAUGUCGCAAGACCAAAGUGGGGGACCUUCGGGCCUCAUGCCAUCAGAUGUGCCCAGAUGGGAUUAGCUUGUAGGUGGGGUAACGGCUCACCUAGGCGACGAUCCCUAGCUGGUCUGAGAGGAUGACCAGCCACACUGGAACUGAGACACGGUCCAGACUCCUACGGGAGGCAGCAGUGGGGAAUAUUGCACAAUGGGCGCAAGCCUGAUGCAGCCAUGCCGCGUGUGUGAAGAAGGCCUUCGGGUUGUAAAGCACUUUCAGCGGGGAGGAAGGCGUUAAGGUUAAUAACCUUGGCGAUUGACGUUACCCGCAGAAGAAGCACCGGCUAACUCCGUGCCAGCAGCCGCGGUAAUACGGAGGGUGCAAGCGUUAAUCGGAAUUACUGGGCGUAAAGCGCACGCAGGCGGUCUGUCAAUUCAUUUGAGUUUUAACCUUGCGGCCGUACUCCCCAGGCGGUCGAUUUAACGC
rnacentral:rRNA from 1 species